AAGAAAAGUGAUAAUUAUAAAAGUUGCUCAAUUUGAAGAGAUCUACCAUUUUUAUAUUGGCUAAAAUUUGAGUUCUUAUAUAAAAUUUAUUUUUACUUUCUGCCCAAGAGAGCACCAUUAUAAAGGAGUAAACCUUGACGUGGUGGAUCGGGAAUCAACCCCUGACGGCUGCAAAUCCGCGUAGGGUGAGUGGGAGACGCCGGCCGAUGGCUGGCGGUGAUGACGAAGUUGACCUGGUGGCCCCAAAAAUUGGAGCUUUGAUGAUCACUAGGGAGGGUCGCCACAAGGCGCAGCCACGGCCGCCUCGCCCGCGUCGCCCUGCCCACCAGGGGGGGGAGUGUGACACCACGCCACCCUCGUGCGUCACAUCCUCGUGUGCUUAGACAUCGUCAUGGGCCAUGGGCCACGAAGGAGCUCUGUUGGGGGAAAAUAUUAACGACCUCCUAAUGCCCCUUAAAACAACGAUCAUGAAGGCCCAGGCCCACCUGCGGUAAUGAUGAUUACCGCCGACCCAGCAUGGGCAGGGAACAUCCCGCUCCAUCUCGCCCGACCCAGGGCCCCAGAGUCGAACACUCCCGACCCUUCGAUGAC
rnacentral:lncRNA from 1 species